ensembl:lncRNA
UAGGAACAAUCUACAUCAAACCGUGACGCCCCGAGCCUGGUUAAACCAAAAGCUUGGACCGCGACACGAAGAUUUACCCAUUAACCUCAACCGGCGUCACCUAGAAAACCUGUAGGUUUACGGAGCAGCCCAAACGCCACAAUCUGCAGUCUGACUGGAGACUUGAUGUGUCCCCGCCACCCUUGACCACCUGCACAAGCAGUGUGAUGAUGUCAGACGAGGGGCCACGAGCACGAGUGACCUCAGGAGAUGGAGAGCUGGAGCACUGUGGCGUUGUGUGUUGCAGCGCUGCGGACCGCACCGGGCCAACACGCCUGGAAAUGGAUCACGCUGGCGGAGCUCCAGUGGGGAAAGGCUCCCUGGUUCCCCGGUUCCCCCCGGCCACUGGUUGCCUGUACAGCUGCUGAUCCUACCAAGCAGCUGGGAGCAGAAUCCCUCCUGAACCUAUGGGAGGGAAAGACAGAAAAAUCAUAAGACCUGGCUUGAUGUCAUUGCAGAAAAUACUGUGGGAGAUGCAGUUUUAAUCGAGCAUAGGUUUUUGUUUCUUACUAGUUUGAGGAGUUUUUUUUUUUUGUUUUUUUGAAAGGGGCUGAGCUGAAGAAAUAUGAUAGUUUGACCAACAAUAUGGAUCCUUCAUUGCUCCAAAAUAUGUGUCUUCUUAGUCAAAGGAGGGGAGCUUUAUCCAUGUGAAUGUUAUUCCUUCCAGGGUCCCACCAACAUACUUUGGCAAAUAUCAAGCAUUGUUAAUGAUGUGUGAAAUAAUAGCCUUGGGUGGAUUUUGUUGAUGACAUUUUGCAGUUUUGCUUGCCUUUUUCUGUUUUCCUGUUUCGUGUAUCAUAAGGCCUAUGGGACUAGAUUUCUGAUUUACAUCUUAUUCAAGAGGUAAAACUGCAAGGUGAUGGGGUUAUUCAAAUAAAAUACUUUAUUUUAAAUAUAAACCUCUCACUAUUGUGAGGUAUGUAUCACAGUCGAUAGAUCAGACAUUUUCCUCAAAGUCUUCAUUUCCCAGUGUAGCUCUGUUGCUUUGAGCCCAAGUACGCCCACAGCAUGUCUGGGAUUGCCAUCUAUAUCACAAAGCCAUAUCAUGUUUGUGUGCAUUCACAGAGCUUCUGUGCAGCUCCCUGUUCGCUUACAGAGAGAUGGAGAUGGAGGGGAAAGGGGAAGAAAUAGAGUUAUGGCUGAAUUAUAGACAUUCCGUCUCCAAUGCUAAAUGCCUUGCCAUACAUGCCUAUAAACCGCUGUCUGCAGUUGAGAAGUUGGAUAUCCCCGCCUCGACUCGACUGUUUUUCAAAGCUUUUUUAUUUUUUUAUUUUAGUUUUUCUGGUUAUUAAUGUCUGUCUCCCUAAUAAAUACAGAAGUCCAUAAGAUGGGAUGAGAUUUAAGCUUUGAUAAUGUUUGUCGUGUCCUUGAUUUAUCUCACCCCAAGAGGAAAUUAAACCUUGGUUUUGUCUGCAUGGAAAGGAAGUGUUCAGCAUUUUCAAAGGAUUUUUUUUUCCUGCCCAAGUAUUUCAAAGGAAUCUGAUGGAGUUGCCAGUCAUCAACCUCAAGAUAUUCCCUCAUAACCAACAGUAAUAAGAACCAAAUUAUUUUGAGAAUUCAGAACGGUCCAUAAGACUUACUCACUGGGAUUUCUAAACCUUGCGACGGCACACAAUUGUACUUUUCUUUUCAUUUACAUCCUUAAAUGGCAUACUUUAUAUGAUGAAUGUGAAUUUCUCUUUAUCUAGCUGCAUUCUCUGUCUUUAAAAUGUUUGUGUGUGAUACUACAUUCAUUAGGCUAUACUUCCUCUGGCUAAUUGCUAAUUGACAUCACGCCACAUUUCAGCAACGUCACCGUGCACUGUUGGAAGCGGGCUUAAACGAGGCAGCUGCGCCGGUCUCACACCUUUUAGCCUUUUGUGCAGAAACAGACCUGGCUCCUGCGGGUUGUUUCAGCUGUUCAAUCUGCUUCUAGAGAAGAGUGUCUUUUUAUUAUUGCGGGGCUGCCCUAUUUCCCCUUAACUCAGCCGUGUUUCAAUGCUCUUAAAAUUACACAUGCCAGCCAAAUAUACAGGGCUCGUAUCUCUUCAACAGCUGCAAUAACUAGCUCAGCUGCCAGUCAAAGCCACUGACGGGUGCUGUGAAAUUGUUGGUGGUGGCAGCAGGUGAUGUCACAGCAGCAUGAUUGCAUUCCAUCAUUCCAAAUGCUUUUCAGCAAGGACAUUUUGGUGGAAAGAGGCACAACCUUAAGACACAUUACGAGACUAUUUAAUUACAGCGGUGACUGAAAAUCGGAGAGAAAAAAAAAUCUUGUAGGUUGUCUAUCAGUGUUUGUUGACACAUGUGGGAGUCUCUGUAUUGACCUUGAACAUGAGAGGCCAUAAUGUUUGUGUUGACGGCAACAGAGUUUUUUAGUAAGUGUAGUAUAGCUGUAUAUAUUGCCAUUAUUUAGGUUUCUACAUGUUUACUAAAAUUCUUUUAAAUUCUUUUUUAUACAG